CCUACGGGAGGCUUCAGUGGGGAAUAUUGGACAAUGGGCGAAAGCCUGAUCCAGCCAUGCCGCGUGUGUGAAGAAGGCCUUCGGGUUGUAAAGCACUUUCAGUGGGGAAGAAAGCCUUGGGGCUAAUACCCUCGAGGAAGGACAUCACCCACAGAAGAAGCACCGGCUAACUCCGUGCCAGCAGCCGCGGUAAUACGGAGGGUGCGAGCGUUAAUCGGAAUUACUGGGCGUAAAGCGCGCGUAGGCGGUCUGAUAAGCCGGUUGUGAAAGCCCCGGGCUCAACCUGGGAACGGCAUCCGGAACUGUCAGGCUAGAGUGCAGGAGAGGAAGGUAGAAUUCCCGGUGUAGCGGUGAAAUGCGUAGAGAUCGGGAGGAAUACCAGUGGCGAAGGCGGUCUUCUGGACUGACACUGACGCUGAGGUGCGAAAGCGUGGGUAGCAAACAGGAUUAGAUACCCCAGUAGUC
rnacentral:rRNA from 1 species